GAACACAAAAUGGCGACACGUGGUUAGCAUUCGUCGCCAACGAGAAAUUGGGGUCGGCCCGAAAGCUCUAGAAUGCACCCCUCUUCCUCCCCGGGGCCUUCCACCUCCGCGAGUUUUAUGACUUAAAAAAGCCCACAGGCUGGUCUGAAGAGGAAGACAAACAUAAAGAUGAAGUGCUUAAUUCAAGGUCACACAAUGUCGGGGAUGGACCUCCAGAUUUCCUUACUGACCUGCAUUAUCUUGUGGAUACCUGAGUGAAUUCCACACCACCCAUUUUAUAGAUGAAACCACUGAGACAUGGAGCAAUUGACUGAGUAGUCACUGCCCCACCCCUGCCUGGAGCCUCACACAUGACUCGCCUCCUCUCAGUGACCACAGGUGAGACGUGGUCUUGUAACACAGUGGUUAAGAAUGUGACUUUGGAGCCAGCCUGCUAGGGGCUGAAUUCUGACUCAGCCAUUUACUAACUGUGUGACCUUAGGUAAGUCAUUUACCUUCUUUGUCCCUCAGUUUCAUCUCGGUUAAGUAGGGAUAAUGAUAGCACCUAUUUUAUAGGGUUAUUGUGAGGAAUAAAUCCAAGUAAAAUGCUUAGAAUAGUAACUGAAACAUAGCACUCAUUAGGAAUGCUUUAAUUUUCAUUUAUUUGAGUAUUAAAGGUUGAAUUUUCAGAGGUAUUUUGGACCUUUGUAUUUUUUCUUUAAAUCACUUAUUCAUGACUUUUGAACUUUUUUUUUUCUUUUAGAGACAGGGUCUUGGUUUGUUGUCUAGGCUGGAAUGCAGUGGUGCAAUCAUAGCUCACUGUAGCCUUGAACUCUUGGGCUCAAGAGAUCCUCCUGCCUCAGCCUCGUGAGUAGCUGGGCCUACAGGCGCCUGCUACCACACCUGGCUAAUUUUUUAUUUUUUGUAGAGAUGGGUUCUUGCAGCCCAGACUGGUCUUGAGCUUUGGCCUGAAGUGCUCCUCCUGCCUUGGCCUCUCAAAGCAUUGGGGUUACAGGUGUGAAGCACUGCACCUUGCCUACACAUUUUUUCCAAUAAUUUUUUUUAUUAAUUUGUAAGAGUUAACAUGUCGACUAUCAUAUAUAACAUAGAAUUGUUCCCAUUUUGUCAUUUCCUUUCAACUUUGUCUAUGUAGCUUUUUUUCUGUGUGCAAAUUUUACAUUUUUAGGUAGUCAGAAAAUCUCUUCCCUUGUAAUUUUUUCUGCUACUAGACCAAUGUUUAGAAAAAAGCGUGCUUCCCCACCUCAAAAUUAUAAAAAUAGUUACUUGUUCUUUUUGAGUACUGUGUGUGUUUAAAUCUUUAAUCUUUAAAUUUAAAUCUUUGAUCCAUCUGGUAUUUAUUUUGAUAUGAAGAGAGUGGUUGGGAUCUGGCUGUAUUUCUUUUUUCUUUUUUUUUCUUUUUUCUUUUUUUGACGAAGUCUCACUGUUGCUCAGGCUGGAGUGCAAUGGCAUGAUCUCGGCUCAUCACAACCUCUGCUUCCUGGGUUCAAGCGAUUCUCCUGCCUCAGCCUCCCGAGUACCUGGGACUACAGGCACUCGCCACCAUGCCCGGCUGAUUUUUGUAUUUUUAAUAGAGAUGGUUUCACUAUGUUGGCCAGGCUGGUCUCGAACUCCUGACCUUGUGAUCUGCCCACCUCAGCCUCGAAAAGUGCUGGGAUUACAGGCGUGAGCCACUGCGCCCAGCCUUGUAUUUUUUUUCAGUUUGGGUAGCUGUCCCUAAUUCAUUUGUUAAAGGAGAAGCAAGAGCAAGAACCUUUAAUCUGUUCUCCUCUUCCCUAAUUUGAAAGUAGCUUGUUAUUUUGAAUAUCACUUUCUCUGAAAUAGCACAUCUCCAUCUCAGAGAAUGGAUUUAAUGUUUGGAUACAGCCAAAAGUCAUUUCAUUACCAAACCAUGGGGUGAAUAUACCAUGUAAAGCAGUUUGGGAUCAGAACUCACAGUCUGAAUUGUAAGUGAUGAGACUGCUGUCUCUCUGCUACAGCUUCUUGGCUGGCUCUGAAGGCUCUUUGAAGGCAGAUCCUAACAAGGGGACUGCUUUGAAGGGCCAUUGUUCAUUUGGAAUGAUAAAGUCUAUGUUGUUCAAAAAACAAAUGCUUGUAGCAGGUAUUUUUUCACUCCAGACUGAGAAUAUUGGUGGGAUAUUGAUAAGGGGUACUGAAUGGUAAUAAACAUGUGCUCUAGCUCUGUGCUAGUCAGCUUAUUUCAGAACUCUAGUUUGAUUCAGUUUCUUGCCUCUGACUCAAAAUGGAGGGAGAGUGAUUUUUACAUAAGAGAACACACCCACAUAUCCUUUUGGCAGCAGCUACCUGCCAGAGAUGUUGAAGAAGAGUAGCCAACCUUUACACAGCAGAUAUUGUGUGCCAGUCAUAGUCCUAAGUAUAAUACCUUACAUGUAUAAACUUCUUAUAAGGUUGGUGCUCUGUACCGAAUUGAAUAGUAUCCCCCAAAAUUCAUGUUGUCCCAGAACCUAUGAAAGUGAUCUUACUUGAGGGAGGGGGGAGGGGGGAGGGAUAGCAUUAGGAGAUAUACCUAAUGCUAAAUGACGAGUUAAUGGGUGUAGCACACCAGCAUGGCACAUGUAUACAUAUGUAACUAACCUGCACAUUGUGCACAUGUACCCUAAAACUUAAAGUAUAAUAAUAAUAAAAUAAAAAAAAAAAAGAAAGUGAUCUUACUUGGAAAUAAGGUCUUUGCACAUAUGAUCAAGUUGAGAUGAAGUUGUACUGGAAAGUCUGUCUAGUGACUGGUGUUGUCAUAAGAAGAGAGGGACACAGAGGGAAGAUGGCCACAUGAAGAUGGAGGCAGAGAUUGCAGUUAUGCUGCUGCAAACUAAGGAAUGGCUCUGGCCCUCCAAGGAUUGCUGAUAACCACCAGAAACUAGAAGAGACAAGGAAGGAUUCUUCCCUAGAGCCUUCAGAGGGAGCAUGGCCCUACUGACACCUGGAUUUCAAACUUGUAGCUUCCUAAACUGCAAGAGAAUAAAUUUCUGU
ensembl:lncRNA PCBP1-AS1 PCBP1 antisense RNA 1